AGAAGCCUCGCCCCUGCCCACGGCUCACGCGGGACGAAAGGGCGCCAGAAUGGGCCGAGCAUAAGGCUCCUGCCAGGGAAACCAAGAGGCUCAGGGACGGCAAAGGCGUCUGGGGCCGCAGCAGGCCAAGCCUCCUUUUUCUACUGGUGUUCCUCUCAGAACCUUCAUUUUGAAGAAGGGCCCAGAUCCAUUGUCCUUCAUUCUCCAGACUUUGCCACUAUGCUCCUGCACAGGUGAUUGAAUAUCCCGCAGUGGUUCUGUUCUGACCUGGACUGGUGGUAACCUUGUGAGUUCUGAAAAGCCCAAAGGUCUUUUGUCUCUGGAGUGGCAGUGGCUGAAUUAGAGAGAGAGGCCAUUGCAAAGAUCAAGCUUGGCUGUUUGAGAAGAUAGUGCAAGGUUAAAUGUGAAAUACCUAAUUAGCAUUAUUGCUCAACUGCUUUACUUUUAAGUCUCUGAUGAGACUUAAAAUAUUAGCCUCCUGGCUAACUAUAACUGUAGUUAUAAGCUAAAUUUCUUAAUGCUGUUCUAAUCAUUCUGUAAAUGUAUACUAUGAUUCUGUGUCUAGCCUAUCUGUAUAUGCAUAUGUCUAUAUGUAGACCUAG